GGUUAAGCGACUAAGCGUACACGGUGGAUGCCCUGGCAGUCAGAGGCGAUGAAGGGCGUGCUAAUCUGCGAUAAGCGCCGGUAAGGUGAUAUGAACCGUUAUAACCGGCGAUACCCGAAUGGGGAAACCCAGUGUGAUUCGUCACACUAUCAUUAACUGAAUCCAUAGGUUAAUGAGGCGAACCGGGGGAACUGAAACAUCUAAGUACCCCGAGGAAAAGAAAUCAACCGAGAUUCCCCCAGUAGCGGCGAGCGAACGGGGAGGAGCCCAGAGCCUGAAUCAGCAUGUGUGUUAGUGGAAGCGUCUGGAAAGGCGCGCGAUACAGGGUGACAGCCCCGUACACAAAAGCGCAUGUGCUGUGAGCUCGAUGAGUAGGGCGGGACACGUGGUAUCCUGUCUGAAUAUGGGGGGACCAUCCUCCAAGGCUAAAUACUCCUGACUGACCGAUAGUGAACCAGUACCGUGAGGGAAAGGCGAAAAGAACCCCGGCGAGGGGAGUGAAAAAGAACCUGAAACCGUGUACGUACAAGCAGUGGGAGCACCCUUUGGGUGUGACUGCGUACCUUUUGUAUAAUGGGUCAGCGACUUAUAUUCUGUAGCAAGGUUAACCGAAUAGGGGAGCCGGAGGGAAACCGAGUCUUAACCGGGCGUUAAGUUGCAGGGUAUAGACCCGAAACCCGGUGAUCUAGCCAUGGGCAGGUUGAAGGUUGGGUAACACUAACUGGAGGACCGAACCGACUAAUGUUGAAAAAUUAGCGGAUGACCUGUGGCUGGGGGUGAAAGGCCAAUCAAACCGGGAGAUAGCUGGUUCUCCCCGAAAGCUAUUUAGGUAGCGCCUCGUGAAUUCAUCUCCGGGGGUAGAGCACUGUUUCGGCUAGGGGGCCAUCCCGGCUUACCAACCCGAUGCAAACUGCGAAUACCGGAGAAUGUUAUCACGGGAGACACACGGCGGGUGCUAACGUCCGUCGUGAAGAGGGAAACAACCCAGACCGCCAGCUAAGGUCCCAAAGUCAUGGUUAAGUGGGAAACGAUGUGGGAAGGCCCAGACAGCCAGGAUGUUGGCUUAGAAGCAGCCAUCAUUUAAAGAAAGCGUAAUAGCUCACUGGUCGAGUCGGCCUGCGCGGAAGAUGUAACGGGGCUAAACCAUGCACCGAAGCUGCGGCAGCGACACUGUGUGUUGUUGGGUAGGGGAGCGUUCUGUAAGCCUGUGAAGGUGUGUCGUGAGGCAUGCUGGAGGUAUCAGAAGUGCGAAUGCUGACAUAAGUAACGAUAAAGCGGGUGAAAAGCCCGCUCGCCGGAAGACCAAGGGUUCCUGUCCAACGUUAAUCGGGGCAGGGUGAGUCGACCCCUAAGGCGAGGCCGAAAGGCGUAGUCGAUGGGAAACGGGUUAAUAUUCCCGUACUUGGUGUUACUGCGAAGGGGGGACGGAGAAGGCUAUGUUGGCCGGGCGACGGUUGUCCCGGUUUAAGCGUGUAGGUGUGUGUUCCAGGUAAAUCCGGUUCACUUUAACACUGAGGCGUGACGACGAGGCACUACGGUGCUGAAGCAACAAAUGCCCUGCUUCCAGGAAAAGCCUCUAAGCAUCAGGUAACAUCAAAUCGUACCCCAAACCGACACAGGUGGUCAGGUAGAGAAUACCAAGGCGCUUGAGAGAACUCGGGUGAAGGAACUAGGCAAAAUGGUGCCGUAACUUCGGGAGAAGGCACGCUGACACGUAGGUGAAGUGAUUUACUCAUGGAGCUGAAGUCAGUCGAAGAUACCAGCUGGCUGCAACUGUUUAUUAAAAACACAGCACUGUGCAAACACGAAAGUGGACGUAUACGGUGUGACGCCUGCCCGGUGCCGGAAGGUUAAUUGAUGGGGUCAGCGCAAGCGAAGCUCCUGAUCGAAGCCCCGGUAAACGGCGGCCGUAACUAUAACGGUCCUAAGGUAGCGAAAUUCCUUGUCGGGUAAGUUCCGACCUGCACGAAUGGCGUAAUGAUGGCCAGGCUGUCUCCACCCGAGACUCAGUGAAAUUGAACUCGCUGUGAAGAUGCAGUGUACCCGCGGCAAGACGGAAAGACCCCGUGAACCUUUACUAUAGCUUGACACUGAACAUUGAGCCUUGAUGUGUAGGAUAGGUGGGAGGCUUUGAAGUGUGGACGCCAGUCUGCAUGGAGCCGACCUUGAAAUACCACCCUUUAAUGUUUGAUGUUCUAACGUGGACCCGUUACCCGGGUUGCGGACAGUGUCUGGUGGGUAGUUUGACUGGGGCGGUCUCCUCCUAAAGAGUAACGGAGGAGCACGAAGGUUGGCUAAUCCUGGUCGGACAUCAGGAGGUUAGUGCAAUGGCAUAAGCCAGCUUGACUGCGAGCGUGACGGCGCGAGCAGGUGCGAAAGCAGGUCAUAGUGAUCCGGUGGUUCUGAAUGGAAGGGCCAUCGCUCAACGGAUAAAAGGUACUCCGGGGAUAACAGGCUGAUACCGCCCAAGAGUUCAUAUCGACGGCGGUGUUUGGCACCUCGAUGUCGGCUCAUCACAUCCUGGGGCUGAAGUAGGUCCCAAGGGUAUGGCUGUUCGCCAUUUAAAGUGGUACGCGAGCUGGGUUUAGAACGUCGUGAGACAGUUCGGUCCCUAUCUGCCGUGGGCGCUGGAGAACUGAGGGGGGCUGCUCCUAGUACGAGAGGACCGGAGUGGACGCAUCACUGGUGUUCGGGUUGUCAUGCCAAUGGCACUGCCCGGUAGCUAAAUGCGGAAGAGAUAAGUGCUGAAAGCAUCUAAGCACGAAACUUGCCCCGAGAUGAGUUCUCCCUGAGACUUAAAGUCUCCUGAAGGAACGUUGAAGACGACGACGUUGAUAGGCCGGGUGUGUAAGCGCAGCGAUGCGUUGAGCUAACCGGUACUAAUGAACCGUGAGGCUUAACCUU
rnacentral:rRNA from 1 species